rnacentral:tRNA from 1 species
GGAAGGGUGCCGGAGUGGACGAACGGGCACGCCUGGAGAGCGUGUGUCGUCGCAAGACGACCGUGGGUUCGAAUCCCACCCCUUCCGCCA